AAUUGUCGUCUUGCCGUAGUGUUGCGAUUGAAUGAAUGCAUAAUCAAGUAUAGACCGUAUGACUUACUAGAGGGGUAGCUAUUGGGAGAAUCAAUUGUUUACAUUCUAUGAUUUCCUAAUUAUAUUUUAUAUCCGAAGUAUAGAUAUGUUUAUUAGUAGAUUCUAUAUAUUAGAGUAAAUAUUAAAUACGUACAUAAUUAUUCAGUUAAUCAAAUUAUGAUUAUAAAUAUUUGGUUCGAAUUUGUAUGUGUAAUUUAUUAGUUACUCCUAUAAAUCGUGGUCUUUCGUCUGGGAUCAAGCAUGGCAGCCAAAUUUGUGCGUUGCGGAAAGGGGUGAAGUCAAAAAGGUAUUGUGUUAUAAACAUAUAUUUUUGGUUGUAAUUAUCAGUUAAUAUGUCCAUCACAUAACUAAGUAUAUGUCAGUAUUCUUAUUUGAUAUGUAUAAUUGCGUUUUGGGUUUGAAAUCUUGUGUAUUGUAUUAGCUGUCAUGCAGGCACUGUCAAACGCCGUUUCCUAGCUAACAAUAUUACGUAGUUUGUACGUUGUGCUAUAGUUAUUGUCGUAUAUCAAUUAGUACCGUUUAGUAAUUCUGUUAACUUUUGUUAUUUCAGUUUUCACAUAUGUGUAUUGUGUGUAUGUUCAACUUGAUAUUCAUCAUAUAAUCAACUUAGAAUUGUCUGUCAACUAAAUGAUGAUAUAAAGAGAAUUCAUUGAACCCUAAAACUUGUAUGUUGAAUUUGUUGAUUAUUCCGGUACACAUUUAGUAAAAAGCUUGCGACUUAAUCCCAGAAGAUUGCGCAGAGCAUCACACCUCUGUUCAUUUGUGUUUGGCUGCCUGCGUAACGAGGUGUGCUGUUACAGUGAAAACUUUAUUCACAUCUUUGCGAGUGAUGGUAUUUUUUGUGCGAACAUUUUAUUGUAAAACAUUUGCGUGCGUAGGCCAAUGUAUAAGCCUAUUUAUUUUGCAAACUCUUUGAAUCUAGCCCUGUGUGUAAACUUGUUGCUGUUUCUCCUAAUUUGCGUAUAUUGCGGUACAGAAAAGAUUUUUGCGAUGGAGUCAAGUCAUUCAAGUAGAAGAUCACACAGCCAAUCAAAAUCAAAGUCAAGUUCUUCGUAUAGAACAAGAAGUUUUGCGUCAAGUUCAUCAAGUUAUUCUAAGAAGAUAGAUCUUGCUGCGGAGGCUGCUGCGUUAAAGUCAAAGUUGAAAUUUAUUGAUGUACUUUCUCAAAAACAAAUCGAAUUGAAUCAGAAACAGUCAGAAUUAAACCGUUUAGAAACAAUUAGAGAUAUUGAAAUUGCUGAAGCCAAGUUAGAUGCUAUUGCGAAGAUACAACAUGAAGAUGAUAGAUCAAGUCGUGCCAUUGAUUCUGCAUUGUCUGCAGAUAAAACUGAAUACGUUCAAGAUUAUGUGAACACUUUGCACAAUUCUGAGCCUGAACCGGUCAAAUUGAAUAACUCAUCAAAUCUACCUGUAACUCCAAGUGCUACCACUGCGACAAAUUGCGAUAACAGACCUACUAAUUUUGCGUCAACACCUGUCUGCGAAGCUCAACAUGACUUUGUGCGUGCGACCUCCAGCGAUAUUGAACUUACAAACCGUGCGUCUGCGUUAGAUAGAGAUACUGACAAGAAUAAUUGUUCACCUGUAACUUGUGUUGAAGAUAAUAACUUUGCGUUUGCGAGAGUUUAUGAUACAGGAGUUAAUAAUUCUGCGUUUGCGUCAUCCUGUAGCGUUGAACUUAGUCAUUCUGUGUCUCAACCUCUUUAUACCCCUUCAACACCUCAAAUUAACCCUUAUGCGUUGCGUUCUCAAGAAACCUGUUCAGCAGUUUAUUCAAGUCAACAACCGAAUCCUGUAAUGUCAACAAAGCCAGCUUAUUACAUUCCUACAAGGUCAACUAAUGAAGAUGAUCCGUUAGUCAGAGUAGCACAAGUUUUUGCGGAACAUGCGAGUUUCAGUCGUUUACCCCCUCCUGAGCCUGGUACAUUCUCUGGAGACCCGUUAAAAUACCCAAGUUGGAAAAGCGCGUUUCAAACUUUGAUAGACCAAAAGGACAUUCCUGUUUCAGAACGAAUGUAUUAUCUUAAGCGUUAUUUAAGUGGAUCUGCGAGAGAGUGCGUUGAGAAUUAUUUCCUGUUGUCGACAGAAGAUGCGUACGAUGAAGCCAAGAAACUUCUUGAUGAUAGAUUUGGUAAUUCAUUUGUCAUUGCCAAUGCGUUUCGCGAUAAACUUGAUGCUUGGCCUAAAAUUCAUUACAGAGAUGGAAUAGGUUUGCGGAAAUUUUCUGAUUUUUUGCGUCAGUGUGAAGUGGCGAUGCGGACUACUAGAAGUUUAUGUGUUUUGAACGAUGAUAGGGAAAAUAAGAAAUUACUUAAGAAACUUCCUGAUUAUUUAGUAUCACGAUGGGCACGUAUUGUCCAUGACUGGAGAAUUGAGAGAAUGACAUUCCCUCCCUUUGUUGAAUUUGCGAAAUUUAUUGAUAAAGAAUCAAACAUUGCUUGCGAUCCUGUAACAUCUUUACAACAACCUGGAAAGGAGUUAAAUCAACCAGAUUCGUUAAGGUACAAUAAUAAAUCAAGCUGGUCAUCAGAUAAGUCACAUUUUAGGAGACCUCCUGGAAAUGUUGGUUCAUUUGCAACGAACUCGUCAGAAAACUAUAUACCCUCAAGGUCGAAAGUUUAUGAAAAUGCGCCAAGGCAACCUGUUUGUUUCUUCUGUAAAGAUCCACACAUUUUGGAUAGAUGUUCUGUUUUUCUGAAGAAAAGAAUUGAUGAUAGAAAAGACUUUCUAAGAAACAACAAAUUAUGUUUUAGUUGCUUAAAUCCUGGACAUUAUUACAAGUUUUGUCGUAGAAGAAAAACAUGCGAUAUAUGUAACAUGUAUCAUCCAACAGCUUUACACGGUGAUGUGCAUGAAAGAACUGAUACAUCAGAAAGGACUGCAACUACAAGUCAUAAUUGUAAAUUGGACAUUAGCGAUAAAUCAAGUCAUUGUUCGAUGAUUCUUCCUGUGUGGAUUUCCCAUAUGUCAAAUCCAGAAUUAGAAUGUCUUGUAUAUGCCCUUUUAGAUACUCAGUCAGACUCUAGUUUCAUUUCAGAUACGACUUGCGAUCGGUUAGGUAUCGAUGGACCCCACAUACAGUUAUCAUUAUCAACAAUGUUUGCGAAAGAUAUGCGAGUAGAUAGUCGUAAAAUGACUGGUUUAAUUAUCAGAGGACAUAACUGUGACAUUAAAAUUCCUUUGUCAACUGCGUAUACAAGAAACGAAAUACCUGCUAAUCGUUCUCAUAUCCCUACACCUGAAAUAGCACGUAGGUGGCCUCACCUUGAAACAAUUGCGAAUGAAUUAAUGUCACUGAACUCUUGUGAGAUUGGUUUGCUUAUUGGUUAUAAUUGUUCCCGUGCGUUAUUACCUCGUGAAGUUAUCCCCCCUGUAUUGAAUGAACCCUUUGGUCAGAAGACAGAUCUUGGAUGGGGAAUUAUUGGUAAUGUUGAUCCAGACAUAAAUAAUGAACUUAAAUGCGAUGAGUUUAUGUUUUGUAGUCAUAAAACUGAGAGUAAUGUUCAACCACUUCAUUCGAUUAGAGAAGUCUCCAAUCUAAACAUUCGAACACGACAUGCGUUUAUUUCAUUUAAAACUCAAGUGAAAGAAAUCGUAAGCCCUUUUAAUAUUCUCAAGAUUUUAGAAACUGACUUUAGUGAUCUCCACUCUUGCAGUAAUCAAACAUAUUCACGUGAAGAUAAACAGUUUUUGAAUAAAAUGUCAGAAAGUAUACAUUUAACAUCUGAUAAUCACUAUGAGAUGCCCUUGCCAUUUAGAGAUAGGGAACCUACACUUCCUAACAACCGAGCUCAUGCGUUACAAAGACUUUUACCAUUGCGUAAUAAAUUUAAGAAGGAUGAAAAUUAUCGGCGUGAUUAUCGUCAGUUUAUGUCAGACAUUAUAAGUAAAGGAUAUGCAGAAAAAGUUCCUGCGGAUGAACUUCAUCAAGAUAUCGGUAGAGUAUGGUAUAUCCCUCACCACGCGGUUUACCACCCGAAGAAGCCUAACAAAAUACGCGUAGUAUUUGAUUGCAAUGCCAGAUUUAAAGAACAGUCAAUAAACGACCAUCUUCUUAAAGGCCCAGAUCUUACUAACACGCUAACUGGUGUACUCUGUAGAUUUAGAAAAGAAUCCAUAGCUGUGAUUUGCGACAUAGAACAGAUGUUCUAUCAGUUUCGUGUAAAUACAGAACAUCGCAAUUAUUUAAGAUUUCUUUGGUGGAUCAAUGAUGAGGAAGAGCCUACGGAUUUUAGGAUGACAGUACACUUAUUUGGUGCUGGGUCAUCACCUGGUUGCGCAAACUUUGGUUUGAAACAGGCUGCUAUCGAUAACGAAGAGGAAUUCGGUUCUGAAGUAACAGAUUUUUUGAAACGAGAUUUCUACGUAGAUGAUGGUUUAAAGUCUCUUCCUACUGAAAGAGAAGCGAUGAAUCUAAUAGAUGGAAGUAGAAACUUGUUAGCUAAGUGCGGACUCCGAUUACAUAAGUUUGUAUCAAAUUCUAAAACAGUUGUUAAUUCAAUAGAUCCAGAAGACCGAGCUAAGGAGAUACGAGAUCUCGAUUUAUUCAACGAUGAACUUCCGAUGGAACGUGUAUUAGGUAUACAAUGGUGUAUUGAGUCAGACUGUUUUCAGUUUCAUAUAACUUUGAAUGACAAGCCAUUGACUAGACGUGGAAUACUUUCCACAGUAUGUUCUAUAUAUGAUCCAUUAGGUUUUAUUGCGCCGUUUUACUAUUAGGAAAACAGAUACUCCAAGAACUUUGUAGAAGUCGUAUUGAUUGGGACACUAGUAUUCCUGAAGAUAUGCGGUCACGCUGGGAACGUUGGCGAGAUAAUCUUGUGCAUCUUUCGUCAGUGAAAAUUCAGAGAUGUUUUAAACCACAAACAUUUGGUCAAGUAACAACUCGAGAGUUACAUUACUUUUCUGAUGCAAGUACCUACGGAUAUGGUCAGUGUACAUACUUGCGAUUGGUUGAUGAUCAACAAAACGUAUAUUGCUCACUUGUUGCUGGGAAAUCACGAGUAACACCACUUAAGCCUAUAACUAUACCUCGUUUAGAACUUGCUGCUGCCCUUGUUUCGGUUAGAGUCGGUGUGCAUUUGAAGAGUGAACUCGACUAUGAUGACAUUAGUGAAAUUUAUUGGACCGAUAGUAAGGUUGUGUUAGGAUACAUAAGUAAUGAUGCCAGACGUUUUCAAACUUUUGUUGCGAAUCGAGUCCAACAAAUUCGAGAAGCGUCGUCACCUGCUCAGUGGAAUUUUGUAUGUAGUUCUGAUAAUCCUGCGGAUGCAGCUUCUCGUGGAUUAGAAGUUGACGAACUGGUUAAUCAGUCGAAAUGGUUUACCGGACCUGAUUUUUUGUGGAAUCUUGAACUUCCCGUAAAUUGCGAUUUCAAAGAAGAAUCCCUAAUUUCCAAGGAUGACCCAGAAGUAAGAAAAGUUCAAGUAUUUGCAACACAGUUAACAAAACCUACUGUAAAAUUCGACUUAUCACGUUUUAAGCAUAUUUCAACAUGGUUUCGAGUUAAAAGAGCUGUUGCCCUGUGUCUGCGAUUAAGAAAGAAGAUACAAGUUAAUCAGGCGAGUCUGAAAUCUGUUUACACACCUUUAACCGUGGAUGAAUUACAACAUGCUGAAACAAUAAUCAUUAAACUUCUUCAAUCACAAGUUUUCAGCGAAGAAAUACAAAUUUUGAAGAAAUUACAGAAAGCGACUGAUGAUAAUGCUGCGAAGAGAAAACUAAAGAAAUCAUCAUCGUUAUAUAAGUUAGAUCCAUAUCUUGAUCAUAAUGGUAUAAUUCGAGUUGGUGGACGCCUUAAAUUGUCUAAUUUGGACCCUGCAGAAAAGAAUCCAAUAAUACUGCCUAAGAAACAUCAUUUGACUACGUUGAUCGUUCGUCAUUUCCAUGAAACUGUAAAGCAUCAAGGUAAAGGUCUCACAACUAAUGAGAUACGCUCCAGUGGAUUUUGGAUAUUAGGAUGUAGUUCAGUCGUUUCAAGUUACAUCUAUCAUUGCGUCAUAUGUCGUAAAUUGCGAGGAAGAGUACAAGAACAGAAAAUGUCAGAACUUCCUGAAGAUCGAUUAGAGCCUGCGCCUCCCUUCACAUAUUGCGCUGUUGAUUGUUUUGGACCAUGGACUAUUAAGGAAGGAAGAAGCGAACGAAAGCGUUAUGGUGUAUUAUAUACAUGUAUGACUAGUCGAGCUGUUCACAUAGAAAUUGCGAAUAGUUUGUCAACAGACUCAUUUAUUAACAGUUUGCGUCGAUUUAUUGCUAUUCGCGGUCCUGUACGCCAGUUACGUUCGGAUAACGGCACCAAUUUUGUUGGAGCAAAAACAGAAUUAUCUGAGCUUAUUCAUAAGAUCAAUCAUGAUCAUGUUAGACAAUAUUUGUUAGAAAAUGGUUGCGACUUUGUUUUCAAAAUGAACAUCCCUGCUGCGAGUCAUAUGGGCGGAGUUUGGGAACGCCAAAUAAGGUCAGUGCGAGCUGUUCUCUCUACGCUUAUGAUGCAGUCUGGAACACAGUUAGAUGAUGAAUCUCUUCGUACUUUUAUGUAUGAAGCUGCAGCAAUUGUGAACAGUCGUCCCUUGACUGUAGAUACUCUUAAUGAUGUCGCAUCUUUAGCACCUUUGACACCUAAUCAUUUGUUGACUAUGAAGACUAAGAUUAUAUUACCACCUCCUGGAGAAUUUCAAAAGGAAGACGUUUAUUCUAAAAAGCGAUGGCGUCGUGUGCAGUAUAUGGCCAAUGAGUUUUGGACACGGUGGAAACGCGAAUUUCUACAAAAUCAACAAGUGCGCUCUAAAUGGAAUGAUUCUAAACGUGAAAUUUGUAACGGUGAUAUUGUUCUUCUGAUAGAUGAUAGUCUUCCGCGAAACCAAUGGUCAGUGUGUCGUGUUGUUGAAACAUAUCCCGAUGCGGACAAUCAUGUGCGUAAAGUAAAGCUUUACAUUGGUAAUAAAUAUUUAAAUUCUGAUGGAAAAUGUGUAAUUCCGCCUGUAUAUUUAGAACGUCCAGUACAGAAAUUAGUUUUACUUCUUGGACUUGAAGACCAGGAAAAUCCCCGCCAAGGAGCCAACUGAACUGUCUUUUUAAAAUUAGAACUCUCUUUAUUAAGUUCGUUGAAAUAUUGAAUAUGUAAUAGUUAGGUUGUUAUGUUUUUUGUUGAAAAUCAGCAUACUAAUUUUGAGGAGCCAUGUAACAAUUGUCGUCUUGCCGUAGUGUUGCGAUUGAAUGAAUGCAUAAUCAAGUAUAGACCGUAUGACUUACUAGAGGGGUAGCUAUUGGGAGAAUCAAUUGUUUACAUUCUAUGAUUUCCUAAUUAUAUUUUAUAUCCGAAGUAUAGAUAUGUUUAUUAGUAGAUUCUAUAUAUUAGAGUAAAUAUUAAAUACGUACAUAAUUAUUCAGUUAAUCAAAUUAUGAUUAUAAAUAUUUGGUUCGAAUUUGUAUGUGUAAUUUAUUAGUUACUCCUAUAAAUCGUGGUCUUUCGUCUGGGAUCAAGCAUGGCAGCCAAAUUUGUGCGUUGCGGAAAGGGGUGAAGUCAAAAAGUUUUCACAUAUGUGUAUUGUGUGUAUGUUCAACUUGAUAUUCAUCAUAUAAUCAACUUAGAAUUGUCUGUCAACUAAAUGAUGAUAUAAAGAGAAUUCAUUGAACCCUAAAA